GUGCUUGUCAGGAAUAACAUCUCCCUGUCAGGAAAGGAGCCCCCGAGGGCAGGGACUCUGCCUGGGCCAACAGUUGACAGAUAUUAGAAGGGGUUGAAUGAAUUCGGACUCAGCGAAUGUCCUUCUGUCUUUAGGACAUCAGCAUUAACAGAGCUGAAGGCUUAUGUAAAGACCUUAAGGGAUGAUAAACAGCAUCCAAGACGGAGAGGUGCCUAGGACCCGCAGAGGGAAUUUAAGAUGUAAAGAUUUUUUUCAAGGCUCCAUCUUCGUUCUUCUCUGAGAUUUAAGCUUCCAAGCUCCUUCUUUGUCUCUUAUGUCUACUCAAAGGAAGAGCCACUCAGAUGGCCGAGUCAGGCUGCAGCCCAAGUCCUUCCGGGUUCCGGUGAAGCUGACAGCCUGGCACUUGUACUAACUACGCAAUUAGAUUUGGAGUGCCAUGGGUUCUGCUGACUUUCUUUGGCAGGUACUGGGUCUCAGACCCUCCCAAACUGCACGGUGCCUAUUAGGAAGAAGGCUGGGGAUUUCAGAUUAAGGCUGGGGACCUUGCCAGCUGCCAACGCAUUGUCAUUGACAGACAAGACAGGCAUCCUGAACUGUCUCACGGUUAGUCAAUUCACAGAGCACCAGCUUGGCUUACGCAUAAUCUGAUAGUUGCUGGAAAUGACCAGGGAAGUCCCUUCCUGCAGUAUUUGUGUGCAUGUGUGUUCAUGUGGUGACCAUGUGGAGGUCAAAGUUGGCUUGCUCCUUCAACCAUGUAAUCCUGAGGAUCAAACUCGGGUUUUCCAGUUUGGCAAUAGAACCAGGCAUGGAGGUGCACUCCAAUCAUCCCAGCACAAGGGAAGUAGGAGCAGGAAGAUUAGGUUGAAUUAAGUUGAAUUACGUUGAAUUAGGUUGAAUAUAGAGAAGGAUAUUAAUUUAAUUUAUAGAAAGAGAAAGGGGAUAAAAGUAUAUUUAUCCGCAGAGAUAUUAAUGUCCAAGGAAGGGAGAAAGAAAUGAGGGUUGACAUAAAUGUUUUCAACAGUACAUAGAUAAAUAAAUAAAAUAAAU
ensembl:lncRNA